UCUGAGGCUGACCUAGGUGAGGAUGGA
rnacentral:piRNA from 1 species